CAAGAAAUAGUUUAAAUAAAAUAAUAAUUUUGGAGAUUAUUGAUAAAUAUAAUAUAUUUUUUUUUGA
rnacentral:tRNA from 1 species